rnacentral:rRNA from 1 species
UUGGCUAUUCCAAAGGGCAUGCCUGUUUGAGUACCGUGAACACCUCAACUCUCACGGCUUUGCUGUGAUGAGCUUGGACUUUGGGGGUUUUGCUGGCCUUGAGGUCGGCUCCUCUCAAAUGGAUCAGCCUACCAGUGUUUGGUGGCGUCGCAGGUGUGAUAACUAUCUACGCUUGUGGUCGUCUGCUAGGUAACCCUCAGCGAUGGGGGUUCGCUGGAGCUUACAAACGUCCUCCCACUGGGGACAGCUUUGAACGUUCGAUCUCAAAUCAGGUAGGACUACCCGCUGAACUUAAGCAUAUCAAUAAGCGGAGGAAAAGAAACUAACAAGGAUUCCCCUAGUAACUGCGAGUGAAGCGGGAAGAGCUCAAAUUUAAAAUCUGGCGUCCUCUGGCCGUCCGAGUUGUAGUCUGGAGAAGCGUUUUCUGUGCUGGACCGUGUAC